GGAUAAUGAGGCCACUACUUUGGGUGGAGAUAAGUGGGAAUAUUUUAGUGGAGUGUGAGUGGAAAGUAAAAUAGAAUGGGAGUAAGUGGUGGGAAUAUUAUUGUGAGUGGAAAAUAAAAGUAAGUGGAGUGUAAGUGGAAA